rnacentral:rRNA from 1 species
UACGGAGGGGGCUAGCGUUGCUCGGAAUCACUGGGCGUAAAGGGUGCGUAGGCGGGUCUUUAAGUCAGGGGUGAAAUCCUGGAGCUCAACUCCAGAACUGCCUUUGAUACUGAGGAUCUUGAGUACGGGAGAGGUGAGUUGAACUGCGAGUGUAGAGGUGAAAUUCGUAGAUAUUCGCAAGAACACCAGUGGCGAAGGCGGCUCACUGGCCCGUAACUGACGCUGAGGCACGAAAGCGUGGGGAGCAAACAGG